UAUCCUGGCUCAGAUUGAACGCUGGCGGCAGGCCUAACACAUGCAAGUCGAGCGGAUGACGGGAGCUUGCUCCUUGAUUCAGCGGCGGACGGGUGAGUAAUGCCUAGGAAUCUGCCUGGUAGUGGGGGACAACGUUUCGAAAGGAACGCUAAUACCGCAUACGUCCUACGGGAGAAAGCAGGGGACCUUCGGGCCUUGCGCUAUCAGAUGAGCCUAGGUCGGAUUAGCUAGUUGGUGGGGUAAUGGCUCACCAAGGCGACGAUCCGUAACUGGUCUGAGAGGAUGAUCAGUCACACUGGAACUGAGACACGGUCCAGACUCCUACGGGAGGCAGCAGUGGGGAAUAUUGGACAAUGGGCGAAAGCCUGAUCCAGCCAUGCCGCGUGUGUGAAGAAGGUCUUCGGAUUGUAAAGCACUUUAAGUUGGGAGGAAGGGCAGUAAGUUAAUACCUUGCUGUUUUGACGUUACCGACAGAAUAAGCACCGGCUAACUCUGUG
rnacentral:rRNA from 1 species